rnacentral:rRNA from 1 species
CAGUCGCCGCGGGAAUACGUAGGUGGCAAGCGUUGUCCGGAAUUAUUGGGCGCAAAGGGCUCGCAGGCGGUUUCUUAAGUCUGAUGUGAAAGCCCCCGGCUCAACCGGGGAGGGUCAUUGGAAACUGGGAAACUUGAGUGCAGAAGAGGAGAGUGGAAUUCCACGUGUAGCGGUGAAAUGCGUAGAGAUGAGGAGGAACACCAGUGGCGAAGGCGACUCUCUGGUCUGUAACUGACGCUGAGGAGCGAAAGCGUGGGGAGCGAACAGGAUUAGAUACCCCAGUAGUCCCUGUCUCUUAUAC